CCUGUUCGAGCGUCAUUACAACCCUCAAGCUCUGCUUGGUCCUGGGUGCCGCCGCCUGGCGCGCCUCAAACACAGUGGCGGUGCCGCCUGGCCCCGAGCGUAGUACUUCAUCUCGCUCCGGUGGUCAGGCGUGCGCCCGCCAGAACCCCAACACACUAAAGGUUGACCUCGGAUCAGGUAGGGAUACCCGCUGAACUUAA
rnacentral:misc_RNA from 1 species